CGGCAACAGCUCAAAUUUAAAAUCUGGCCUCUUCGGGGCCCGAGUUGUAAUUUGUAGAGGAUGCUUCGGGUGUGGCCCCGGUCUAAGUUCCUUGGAACAGGACGUCACAGAGGGUGAGAAUCCCGUACGUGCCCGGUGGCCGCCCCCGUGUGAAGCUCCUUCGAC
rnacentral:rRNA from 1 species